UACGUAGGGGGCAAGCGUUGUCCGGAAUCAUUGGGCGUAAAGAGCGUGUAGGCGGCCCGAUAAGUCCGCUGUGAAAGUCCAGGGCUCAACCCUGGGAUGCCGGUGGAUACUGUCGGGCUCGAGUCCGGAAGAGGAGUGUGGAAUUCCUGGUGUAGCGGUGAAAUGCGCAGAUAUCAGUGAGGAACACCAAUGGCGAAGGCAGCACUCUGGGACGUGACUGACGCUGAGACGCGAAAGCGUGGGGAGCAAACAGG
rnacentral:rRNA from 1 species